CACGCAUGUUUUCAUGGUGUGAGUGUGAAACCCCUUAAUCUUACAUUUAAGGUGUCUAGUCAGGGGUUCCUAUUAUUUGUUGUGAUUAAGGGGGUAAU